rnacentral:rRNA from 1 species
AACGAACGCUGGCGGCAUGCCUAACACAUGCAAGUCGAACGAGACCUUCGGGUCUAGUGGCGCACGGGUGCGUAACGCGUGGGAACCUGCCCUUAUGCUCGGAAUACCUCCCCGACAGGGGUGCUAAUACCGGAUAAUGUCUUCGGACCAAAGAUUUAUCGCCUUUGGAUGGGCCCGCGUUGGAUUAGCUAGUUGGUAGGGUAAAAGCCUACCAAGGCGACGCUCGAUAGCUGGUCUGAGAGGAUGAUCAGCCACACUGGGACUGAGACACGGCCCAGACUACUACGGGAGGCAGCAGUGGGGAAUAUUGGACAAUGGGCGAAAGCCUGAUCCAGCAAUGCCGCGUGAGUGAUGAAGGCCUUAGGGUUGUAAAGCUCUUUUACCCGGGAUGAUAAUGACAGUACCGGGAGAAUAAGCACCGGCUAACUCCGUG